ensembl:miRNA
AUGUCUGUGGUAUAUUACUCGAGAGAGUAGCAAUCACAUAUGGUAAUUACAUAUGAUUGAAACCUCUGUGAGUAGCAUGACACAUGACAU